GCGAGGCGGGGGGAGGGGUGGUCCCGGUCCCCCGAUGGCUUUGGGCGGGCUUGGCCGGGUCCGCUCCCGGGCGGCGGCGGUCCGGGCGGGCUGGCUGGGCGCCGGGCCUGCUGCGCGCCUGGCCGCCGGGCUGGCCCGGGGUGAGGGCCGGUGGCCAGGCCCUGCCCGGGCCCCAUGGCGUGAAGCUGCCCCUUCGCUCAGCCAAAGGAGAAAAGCCUUUCCUGAAGGUACCGCGGCCCCUGCGCUAAAAACUACCUUCAACCAGAAGCCGCGGCUGCACGGAGGGUCGGGGAAAGGGAUCUCUCGGUUCCCCUUGCCUCGCAGCUGAGGCGAAGCCCCCUCUGGGGGGACCGGCAGCCCUGCCCGAGGCUGCCGAGGCCUGCGUGAGGUGCGAGAGAAGGGGACCGGGCGCUGGGAUCCAGGGUGCUGAGGUAGGGCGCCGACAGGGACACCUGAAAGCUACACCUCUGAAACUGUGGCAUUGCCGGUUGUCUUCGUGCGACAAAAAAGGUGGCUGUGCUGUCUGCCCGGUGCUGUGCAGAGAGAUGGAGCCUCGACCUUUGCUUCGUUGUAGCGAUGCUUACCCACCACAGCCCUAAAAUAACCACCUUUCACAGUCCUGCUUCCCUCUACCUGUAAGCAUAAGGCUCACUUGUAUAGCUGAGGUUUUAAUCGGGGACCAGGUGAAGAGAAUGAGGGUUGCUGGAAAGGAUUUCCCUUUGCCGAGGCUCCCAGCCUGGCUUGGCCUUUUGAGAGCAGGUGCCUACGUACACCCUAUUUCAAAGAAUUAAUUAUUUUCUCCUGUAUGUGUCCCCUGGAGGAAGAUGUCCGAGUACCUCCCACUGUUAUUCUGUAUCUCCAGUGAUCAGAGCACUUGCUCAGGAGCUGGAGAUGUGGCUCACAGUCCUUUUCCCAGAACUCUUGAGUUUUGUCCUCUGACAAAUGUUCGAUGUAAAGUACAGGAGCAGACUUGGAAAAGGGGACUGAAAUCCAAGGCUGUUCCCUUCCCUUCCCCGUGGCAAUGUUAUUAUUGCUAGGUCAUGGCCUCUCCUUGAUUGCUCCCAUGAAUCCUGAAUCCCCACCCUUUCCCCCAGGCAGCAGUACGGGUUCGACAGGCUGGUUGAAAAUGGAGUGCGUGUUAGGCUAGCCCACCCCCCGGGUAAGAUACUCUUCAGGAAGGUCAGAGCCAGGCAUCUGAACCCCAUCUGGCAGAAGUGGGGAGACAUUGUGACCUUGGGUCUCCUGGCGUGGGGGGCACUGCAAGGCACACAGCAGGAAGGAAGUUCCCCCUGGGGAGUUGAGAAAGGGUUCAAAGAAGCUGGUGAAGUGUUAAGCAAAAGCAGUCAGUGGCUCAGCACAUGGUGGGGAAGUCGAUGAUAAGCAUUUGCAGCUGGUUCUCUCUCCCACCCUGGAGGAACUGGGUGGCUGCUGACUCAGGAGCUGCAUCAAGCUGAAGGAAUGGGAAGGGGGUCACAUUUUCUGAGUGACUGAGACACAGUGCAGCGAGCGAUGGGAUAGCGACAGGCACCUCCUACCUGUUGUCCCUUCUGGGAAGAGCCAUCACAGCACUGUCCUGUAAGGAGCUGGAGUCCGCUGAUUACUGGAUGUUUCAAUCUGCUGAGAAGAAGGGGAUGUCCCUGAACCAAUGAAACAGUGAUGAGGAGGAAUGUUGGGACUAAUCAUGUGAGAAAAGAUCCUGGAGUGAUGAGGCAGCAUAUUUCCCAUGUCUGAGGUCAGGAUUUAUUCUGUGAAGCUGACCUUUAAAACAGCCUGAAAAUGAGGAACGUGGCACCAGAGAGCAGAGCAGGAAGCAUGAAAUGAUGUAAGAUAUGUUUCUUCUGCAUGUGAAAUACUUUUUUUUUUUUUUUAAAGCUCCAGAUUAGUGAUUCAACAUUUUCUGCCACUGACAGAAUAUAAGAAAGGGGGAAACUGUGUGGAAAUACAGAAAUUUCUAUUGUUCUAGUCAAAAUCUAAUAAAAUAUUAGUCAUCAAGUA